rnacentral:rRNA from 1 species
GCCUUACACAUGCAAGUCGAACGGCAGCACGGGGGCAACCCUGGUGGCGAGUGGCGAACGGGUGAGUAAUACAUCGGAACGUGUCCUGUAGUGGGGGAUAGCCCGGCGAAAGCCGGAUUAAUACCGCAUACGAUCUACGGAAGAAAGCGGGGGAUCCUUCGGGACCUCGCGCUAUAGGGGCGGCCGAUGGCAGAUUAGCUAGUUGGUGGGGUAAAGGCCUACCAAGGCGACGAUCUGUAGCUGGUCUGAGAGGACGACCAGCCACACUGGGACUGAGACACGGCCCAGACUCCUACGGGAGGCAGCAGUGGGGAAUUUUGGACAAUGGGGGAAACCCUGAUCCAGCAAUGCCGCGUGUGUGAAGAAGGCCUUCGGGUUGUAAAGCACUUUUGUCCGGAAAGAAAACUUCUGCCCUAAUACGGCGGGAGGAUGACGGUACCGGAAGAAUAAGCACCGGCUAACUACGUGCCAGCAGCCGCGGUAAUACGUAGGGUGCGAGCGUUAAUCGGAAUUACUGGGCGUAAAGCGUGCGCAGGCGGUUCGUUAAGACAGAUGUGAAAUCCCCGGG